AUUGAACGCUGGCGGCAUGCCUUACACAUGCAAGUCGAACGGCAGUACGGGAGCAAUCCUGGUGGCGAGUGGCGAACGGGUGAGUAAUAUAUCGGAACGUGCCCGGUCGUGGGGGAUAACGUAGCGAAAGCUACGCUAAUACCGCAUACGAUCUACGGAUGAAAGCGGGGGAUCGCAAGACCUCGCGCGAUUGGAGCGGCCGAUAUCAGAUUAGGUAGUUGGUGAGGUAAAGGCUCACCAAGCCGACGAUCUGUAGCUGGUCUGAGAGGACGACCAGCCACACUGGGACUGAGACACGGCCCAGACUCCUACGGGAGGCAGCAGUGGGGAAUUUUGGACAAUGGGCGCAAGCCUGAUCCAGCAAUGCCGCGUGCAGGAU
rnacentral:rRNA from 1 species